UGCAUGCAGAGUUCCAGCGGAUUACAAAUCAGAACCUGCCCAACACGUGCUAUGCUGAGCUUGACCGCCAUCUUCCUCUAAUGAUGACCUUAUUCAGACAGAAGGCACCAAUAACUGGGAAGACAGCAGAUGCUCUGGCUGAAAUUUAAAAAAUCCACGAUGAACAGGAAAUCCAUGACAUCCACACCAAGCGCACUACUGUUCUCCACACCCUUCCUGUGUAUCUGCGCGAGGACGUCUCUGGAUUUUUAAGAACCUGCACGGAUGAGUCCGAUGAGCCAGAGCUUGAUGGUGUUUGCAGUGGGCUUCAUUACUUUCAUCAGUGACUAUGACGCAAGUCCAGUUCACUACCACCCUGUGAGAAUCACUGUCGUCAUUGAAAGGGAUGCCGUGGUCAGCCUCCCCAGACUUGGCAAUGCCUUCCUGGUAAU